GGGUCCUUAGCUCAGUGGCAGAGCAUUUGACUGCAGAUCAAGAGGUCACCGGUUCGAACCCGGUAGGGCCCU
rnacentral:tRNA from 2 species